GACGAACGCUGGCGGCGUGCUUAACACAUGCAAGUCGAACGGAAAGGCCCUGCUUUUGUGGGAUGCUCGAGUGGCGAACGGGUGAGUAACACGUGAGUAACCUGCCCUUGACUUUGGGAUAACUUCAGGAAACUGGGGCUAAUACCGGAUAGGAGCUCCUGCUGCAUGGUGGGGGUUGGAAAGUUUCGGCGGUUGGGGAUGGACUCGCGGCUUAUCAGCUUGUUGGUGGGGUAGUGGCUUAUCAAGGCUUUGACGGGUAGCCGGCCUGAGAGGGUGACCGGCCACAUUGGGACUGAGAUACGGCCCAGACUCCUACGGGAGGCAGCAGUGGGGAAUAUUGCACAAUGGGCGGAAGCCUGAUGCAGCAACGCCGCGUGCGGGAUGACGGCCUUCGGGUUGUAAACCGCUUUCGCCUGUGACGAAGCGUGAGUGACGGUAAUGGGUAAAGAAGCACCGGCUAACUACGUG
rnacentral:rRNA from 1 species